CCUACGGGCGGCAGCAGGGGGGAAUAUUGCACAAUGGGGGAAACCCUGAUGCAGCGACGCCGCGUGUGUGAAGAAGGAAUUCGUUAUGUAAAGCUCUAUCAGCAGGGAAGAAAAUGACGGUACCUGAGUAAGAAGCCCCGGCUAACUACGUGCCAGCAGCCGCGGUAAUACGUAGGGGGCAAGGGUUAUCCGGAUUUACUGGGUGUAAAGGGAGCGUAGACGGCAGUGCAAGGCUGGAGUGAAAGGCGGGGGCUCAACCCCCGGACUGCUCUGGAAACUGGACGGCUGGAGUGCAGGAGAGGUAAGUGGAAUUCCUAGUGUAGCGGUGAAAUGCGUAGAUAUUAGGAGGAACACCAGUGGCGAAGGCGGCUUACUGGACUGUAACUGACGUUGAGGCUCGAAAGCGUGGGGAGCGAACAGGAUUAGAUACCCCGGUAGUC
rnacentral:rRNA from 1 species